GCUGGAGCAUCUUGUGAUAAAUGUUUCUCCUGGUUUCCUGUAAUGGCAAGGGAAUCCUUUUGGAAAGUGUUUCUUCACUGAAAUAAGUUUGUUAAAUUUUGUUCUUUUUGCACUGUUAAAUAACAACAGAGAGGGUAGAAGAGCUAUAUUUUGUUUUGCUAUUUUGUUAACACUCUAAAGUAGCAGACUUUUUAAAGCAAGUGCAAUAAAAGCUUGCCAGAAUAAUUAGAGAAAGUAUUUUUUUUGUAGCUGCUGGCAGAAGUGAAGCAGAGCCAACCAGGAUUUCUUCCACCUACUUCAGCUGAAGAAAUAAAACCACACCAGAGCUGCUUUCCCAUGUGAAAUUGAAAAGACUCCACUUUUCAGCAGAACACGAAGCGUUACUAUGAAGACCAGAUGACUUUCUGAGAAUAUUAAGAUGCAUUUUCAUAACUGGACUCUCUGUCUCAGGGGAUUAUCUGACUUCUUCACCUCCUCCAGCUGUGAGAUCCCCCCUGCUUCUAUUAUUAUAUUCCAGGAGAAUCCUUUUUCAAUGGAACCUGCCUCUGUUAUGUGCUAUCUGAGAAAUUUCAUGCCCAAGGGGUGUGACAGGACAAGGAGAGGUGAUUUCAAGCUGAAAGAGGAAAGAUUUAAACUGCAUAUAAGAAAAAGAUUUUUAAGGAUUCAGAUGUUUUCUGACACCAUCGCGCUCCCUGGCACAGGAGGGAUGAAUGGAACAGAAGCUCAUGUGUGGAAGAUUACUGAUUUUUGUAGCAUUGCAGACAGGAGCUGCCAGCGGGGAAGCUAAUACAUGAGGGGCUGAGGAGUGAGUGCUUUAGGAGGAAACCAUCUAGAUCUCUCAGACAGCUCAGUGUGUAAUUCUGGUAAUACUAUGGACUCUUUUCAUUCCACCUUCUGUAAUAAUUUAUGAGAGCUAAGAGACUGUAGUUAGUAAUGGGUCUGCUAUGCCUAUUUUUCCUUGGAGCUAUAUCCUUAAUGGUAUUUUUAUACAAUAUUUUUUUGCCUUUGCGAGCUGUACUGUUUUGCUGUGUGCUCAAAGCCCAUUGGGGCACAGUGUGGGUGGCUGUGGGUGCUGUACCUGUGGCAAAGUAGGGAUAUCCCAAAGCUCUGGAGAAGGGGAGGAUGUGCCCGGGGCUCUCUCACAUUUCACCAGGAGUUGUUCUCUUCUCUUGAUAAAUAAAUACUGAGUAUUAGGGUUCACUAAUAUUCCAAUAUCAAGAUAAUUUUCUCUUGUCUUUGUACAACAUUCCAGUUCCUCACUAUGCCCCCACAGAACCAUACUUGAACACAAGGAUGGAGUCUAUAACUUGUCUGUAAGCAAAAAUGCCUGCCUUGUGACUACACAAGAAUCCAAACAGCAAAGUUAAAAUUUUCAUUAUUUUUAAACAGGUGGCAUCUUUCCAUUUUUCUUUUUCUUUUUUUUUCUUUUUUUUAUGGUAGUGAGAUGGGUGCUGAAUUUUAGCAUUAGUCUCAUGAAAGAUGGAUAGGGUUCAUUUUACUCAUUCAUCUUUUGUACUGCGCUGUCAUCUGCUACGUUGACUCAUUUUACACAUUUACUUUGAUGUCAUCAGGGCUAAAGGAAAAUUCGAUUCCAGAAAAGCAGAAUGAUAGGAAUUAGGUAACUUGUAGCUAUUGCCAGGUUGGAAUGAAGGGCUUUUCAAGGACCACCAGCAUAUGAAUAGGUUAACCUCGGAUGCACUGGUAGAAGAAAAGUGACCAGACAUAUUUUUAGCCUUUGGCAGCCAAGGAGAACAGAACCUCUGAAAACAGCAUGCCUGAAACUUAGAAUGAAAGAAUGUGUCAGGAAACUAGGCAAAUAUUACAGAGGGGAAGCUGAAAUUUUAGGAGAAAAGGACAAGGGGAAAGGCAGAGUCAAAAGUAGAGAUAUGCUUUUACCCUUUGUUUUUCUUCCAAGUUUAAGUUCCUAAAAGAACACUGUCCACAUGAGUAAAAAUGCCAGGUUGUUUGCAAAAGCCUGCCUCUGCAAAUUUGUGUUUUAUUGAUUCUGAAAGAAGGAGUUACUAAAUAGAUGCCUAUGUUCAUUUGAAGCAAGCUGGAGUUCCUGGAGAGAAUCGCGUGCUGUGAACAUGGCAACCAGCUCUGAUGCCCAAAGAUCUAAAACUGAAAUGGUGCUCCUGCCAGGGGAGGAUGGCCAAUAUCAAAAUGUGCAGCCUUCAAAAGGUUUUAGUUCUCGUUUAAAAUUCUAUCUCCUUUUACAGUGACCUUUAAUUAUUACACUGACCCUUAACUUGUGAACUGUACACUAGCUGAUAGUGCCUGGCCUCUGCUGAAACAUGUGCUGCUGCAGAAGUCUCAAGGCUUGACUGUGUUCACUCUCAAGAGGCUGUAAGUCAGCUUGAUAUACCUCUUCCAAAUGCAAUGUGUCUCUUAGUGUCAAGUUCAUGAGUCUAUGUAGCUUAGAAUAUCUUGUAU